rnacentral:misc_RNA from 1 species
AAGUCGUAACAAGGUUUCCGUAGGUGAACCUGCGGAAGGAUCAUUAACACGUAUCCAACGUUAAACCCCCCCGUGCACCUUCAAACACCAUACAGCGCUUCGUGACCCAUCUUGUGUCGGGAUUGAUGGUCGGGAAAAACAGGGAUCUAGGGAGUUGGUUGUCGGGGGAGAACCUCGCGAAAUGGGGUGGUCUCCACUUCAACUUGUUUAGUACCUUUUGUCCUCUACCCGUACCGCUUGUCGCCACGAUUUGGAUCUUGAUGCACCGCUGGAAAACUAUGUCUUCCCGCAAAAGUACCCGCUCGGGGGGCCUGAGAACCUUCCAGAGCUGGAAUACCCGAACAACUGUUAACAAUGGAUAUCUUGGCUCUC